rnacentral:rRNA from 1 species
CCUACGGGUGGCAGCAGUGAGGAAUAUUGGUCAAUGGACGAGAGUCUGAACCAGCCAAGUAGCGUGAAGGAUGACUGCCCUAUGGGUUGUAAACUUCUUUUAUAUGGGAAUAAAAUGUUCCACGUGUGGGAUUUUGUAUGUACCAUAUGAAUAAGGACCGGCUAAUUCCGUGCCAGCAGCCGCGGUAAUACGGAGGAUCCGAGCGUUAUCCGGAUUUAUUGGGUUUAAAGGGAGCGUAGGUGGAUUGUUAAGUCAGUUGUGAAAGUUUGCGGCUCAACCGUAAGAUUGCAGUUGAAACUGGCAGUCUUGAGUGCAGUAGAGGUGGGCGGAAUUCGUGGUGUAGCGGUGAAAUGCUUAGAUAUCACGAAGAACUCCGAUUGCGAAGGCAGCUCACUGGACUGCAACUGACGCUGAGGCUCGAAAGUGUGGGUAUCGAACAGGAUUAGAUACCCGGGUAGUC